GAGCCUUUGGCGGAAUCGGUAUACGCGGCUGAUUUAAGUUUUGACGUCCUCAGCUUUCGAAAGAAGUGCGGGUUCAAGUCCCGCAGGGCUCA
rfam:Protomyces lactucaedebilis strain 12-1054 BCR37scaffold_23, whole genome shotgun sequence.